rnacentral:rRNA from 1 species
UGGGGCAUGCCUACCAUGCAAGUCUCGAGGCAGCAGGUCCUUCGGGAUGCUGGCGAGUGGCGGACGGGUGAGUAAUGCGUAGGAACCUAUCCUUUUGUGGGGGACAACCCAGGGAAACUUGGGCUAAUACCGCAUAAGCCCUGAGGGGGAAAGCGGGGGAUCUUCGGACCUCGUGCUGAAGGAGGGGCCUACGUCCGAUUAGCUAGUUGGUGGGGUAAAGGCCUACCAAGGCGACAAUCGGUAGCUGGUCUGAGAGGACGACCAGCCACACUGGGACUGAGACACGGCCCAGACUCCUACGGGAGGCAGCAGUGGGGAAUUUUUCGCAAUGGGGGCAACCCUGACGAAGCAAUGCCGCGUGGAUGAAGAACGCCUUCGGGUUGUAAAGUCCUUUCGUGGGGGACGAUAAGGCGGAUCCGAAUACGGUCUGCUAUUGACGUGAACCCCUAGAAGAUACACCGGCUAACUCCGUGCCAGCAGCCGCGGUAAU